UACGAAGGGGCUAGCGUUGUUCGGAAUUACUGGGCGUAAAGCGCGUGUAGGCGGGUCUUUAAGUCAGGGUGAAUGCCAAGGCUCAACCUUGGAACUGCCUUGAUACUGGUAGAUCUUGAGUCCGGGAGAGGUGAGUGGAACUGCGAGUGUAGAGGUGAAAUUCGUAGAUAUUCGCAAGAACACCAGUGGCGAAGGCGGCUCACUGGCCCGGAACUGACGCUGAGACGCGAAGCGUGGGGAGCAAACAGG
rnacentral:rRNA from 1 species